GUUUCCUACAGAGGGCUGCCCAAUGGCCUCGAUGUCGUCGAGGUAGCAGCCAUAUAAGGGUCUGACGGCCGACGAGCUUCGGCUUGGGACACGCCAGGCAGGUAUUUUAGGCGCAAGCCCUAAAUUGUUUACAUGCAAUAUGUUUAUACUCAAAUAGAAAGGUCAUAAGACGAUUUAAAAUUGAAUAAAUGCGAUUACUUAGUGUCGUAAUGUAUCGAGUGAUCUAAUCUACAAAAAUCUAAAUGACAUGACGACAUUAUAGUCUAUCGUUAGCUAAAUAUCUAAUAGAUCUUAACACAAUGCCGUGUAGGGGAGCGGGGGGUAGCCCCGGCCGGCGGGUAGCCUCGGCCACCGCAAAUACUAGUGACUCUCGUAGUGUUACCUAUAAGUACGUGUUAUGUCUGUGUGCUUUUACUAUCCAUUCGAAAAAUACUGACAGUUGGAAGUCACCCGACCACGGUGCUCGGACAUAAAUUGAGUAUUUUGUUUUUGGCGGACUGGUUGCGCGGGAUACCAAUUGUUUCGGAGGCUAUUUUUAUUGGAUAAACUGGUACAAUGCCCAAAUUUAGGAAUAGAACUACAAAUCGCGGAGACUGGAGUAAAGAGAAUAUGAAAAAAGCAAUUCAAGCUGUCCUUGACAAAAAAUAUUCUGAAAGAGCAGCCGCAGACCGAUACGAAGUCCCACGUACCUACUUCUUUGCAAGAUCGUAUUAAAGGUAUAAAACAAGGUUAUCAGGUCAGUCUUAAACCAAAAUUAGGACGCUUUGAACAAACAUUCAAACCUGAGUUUGAAAGACAAACUCUGUGAGCAUGUUAUAAAGCUAGAUAACCGUCUUAUGCCUUUAACAAGAAGUGAGUUUUUGCGCCUUGCCUUUGAUUUAGCAGAAAAGCUUCAAAUUCCUCACAGGUUUAACAAGGACAAACGAAUGGCAGGAAAAGAUUUUUUCUGCGAAUUUAAGAAAAUAAAUCCAGAUGUGGCAUUAAGAACUCCUGAGGCAACUAGCUUGAUGCGUUCUACCAAAGGUGCGGUAAAGACACCAAAGGUGCGGUAAAGGUCAAGAGAAACAUAAAAACGAGAAUAAAAGUUAAGAAGGUUGCAUCUCAGCCAGAUUCGUCACAUCAGGAGACGGAAUGCAUUAUUUGCGGUGAAACAUUCGAUGAGGAUUGGAUCCAAUGCAAAAUUGCAAAAUAUGUGAGGACUGGGCUCACGAAGCUUGUGUAGAUUUAAAUCCAUCUCAUUUAUACUAUUACUGUGAUGUAUGUGUUGCCAAAAAACGCACUAAUCUUUAAAUACCUGGGUGGCCGGAGCUACCCGCCAUCUUUAAGGGAUACCAAAAUUUGAUUACUUUUUCAAGUGGCUUUAAUUACAGAGGGAUUAUGUUGUUGUCUGAGUUUUCGAUAUUUAUCUUAAAUAAAUAUAAUGUUGAUUAUUUUUAA